UUACGAGGCGCCAACUACAACAAAUACUAAAUCAAGGAAUUGUCAACUGCGUGUCGUUUUUACAUCUUUUAUUGAUAUUCCGGCAUUAGUGCGGAAAUUAAUGGUGGGCAGAAAUGUCUGGAAAGGCAAAGGAUAUUCUGCAGCUGGACCUUUAUGGUUUGCUUGGAAUUGAAAACACUGCUACGACGAAGGAGAUCAAAAAAGCCUAUCGACAGAAAGCUUUGAAAUGCCAUCCAGACAAGAACCCUGACAACCCAAAAGCAGCGGAGCUCUUCCACCAGUUGUCUCAGGCUCUGGAGGUGCUGACCGAUGCUGCUGCCAAGGCCGCCUAUGACAAGGUUCGCGCUGCCAAAAAACAAGCGGAGGAACGAAACCGCAAACUUGAUGACAAGAGAAAGAAGAUUAAGCUUGACCUUGAGGCAAGAGAGCGACAAGCAGAAGCUCAGACCCAAGAUGAAGUCCAAAUCACAAGAACACUUGAAGAAGAGAUUAUUCGUUUGAGGGAGGAGGGAUCCAGACAGCUUGAGGAAGAACAGAGGCUCAUCAGAGAGCAGAUCCAAAGAGAAAGAGAAGAACAGCAGAACACGGGAGACUACAGUCACAGAAACUCUGGAGGGGGAAGAUGUUCCAGGAGCAGCGUCACCCCCAAAUUGAAGUUGAAGUGGAAGUGUAAAAAUGACGACGGCACAAACGGUGGCUACUGCCAAGAGUUCAUUCUUAAACUCCUACAAAAGUAUGGAGACGUUUUGAAUGUGGUAAUGUCAGGCAAGAAGAAAGGAAGCGCUGUUGUUGAAUUUGCAACUGUGAGGGCAGCUGAGCUGGCAGUAAAGAAUGAAAGAGGCCUGAGUGAAAAUCCAUUGAAGAUUUUGUGGCUUGAAGGCCAGCCAGAAGUUGGCCCUCCAUCUCAGUUCAUGUCGACACAGGCUUCCCUGGCCAAUGAACGCGACUACGAGAGCGUGGUGAUGAUGAAGAUGAGACAGGCAGCUGAGCGACAGCGGCUCAUUGAGCAAAUGCAAAGGGAGGACGAUGAAGAAGGAGCUGCGUCCUAGCAUCAGAGGACCUGGCUCGGCACCGGCCCGCAGCCAAUGAACAGAACACCUGUUUUAAGUGAAGCGAGGGUGCUGGUAGGAUUCAGAGUUAAGUCAUGUGAUCUCAGAGAUAACAGGAAGCAGGUAUGGAUGGUGCUGCCUGAAGUUUUAGGUCACUGAACGGGAUGGAUGCCUGGAUAACCGUGUUUGCAGAUGGCGGAGCACGACGUUUCAGUCUCUUUCAGGCACAACCAACAAUCCUGAUUGGCUGAAUAGCCGAAAGUGCUUUCUUCUGCAAGCUUCUUAUCCCCCCCACCCCCAUGUAGAAAAAAUUGGAAUUAAAAAAAGAGCAAUAAUAUAUUCACAUGGAUCAUUGUUAAGGUCCUGAAUAUGAAAGGCAUUUGAUAAGUUAUUUCAUGACCAUUAAAUCUUGUCGCAAUUGAGUCAAAAGUGAGACCACUCUUCAAUGUAGCCAAAAUCCUUGCGCUGCGUUAUGCUCAUAUACUUUAUCCUGUAACUCAGUGAAAACCGCUGAGACACGUAGCGAUCCAAACCACAGUCCGUGACUAUGCAGAAGUCAUCCCCCCCCGGACCCCCCACCCACGAACCAACCCUCAAGUUAACUCUGGAAUGUGAUGGGUAGAACUUCA